rnacentral:misc_RNA from 1 species
AGUGUACGCGAGUGUACCCCGUGGUAGUGUUCAUCAAUCCCUUUGUUGUGCGACUCUGUUGCGUCCGGGGCGGCCCUGCCUUCUGGCGGGGGCUCCGGGUGGACACUUCACUUGCUUGCGUAAAUUUGCAGUCUGAGUAAAUUUUUUUAAUAAAUUAAAACUUUCAAUAACGGAUCGUCUUGAGUUCUGGCAUCGAUGAGAACGCAGCAAGCUUAAUUGCACCGAUGCUGGUUUUUCUUUGAACCAAACUGCUCUGGCGGUUGGGCCAGCCUGCCGC